AAUGUGGUUAAUGAUGCUCAACUUUUUUCCCCAUCUUAUCGACUGUGGUGAAACCAGUCUGAAAACUAAGCCAAUUACUCUGAAACCACGUU
ensembl:snoRNA small nucleolar SNORD12/SNORD106